rnacentral:ncRNA from 1 species
UAUACGACUGACGGAAAUGUGGAAAUAACCACAGGGAAGUAUAGCUAUGAAUGACAGCCGACCGUCUGGGCAAAC